rnacentral:rRNA from 1 species
GACGAACGCGGCGGCGUGCCUAAUACAUGCAAGUAGAACGCUGAAGGAGGAGCUUGCUUCUCUGGAUGAGUUGCGAACGGGUGAGUAACGCGUAGGUAACCUGCCUGGUAGCGGGGGAUAACUAUUGGAAACGAUAGCUAAUACCGCAUAAGAGUAGAUGUUGCAUGACAUUUGCUUAAAAGGUGCAAUUGCAUCACUACCAGAUGGACCUGCGUUGUAUUAGCUAGUUGGUGAGGUAACGGCUCACCAAGGCAACGAUACAUAGCCGACCUGAGAGGGUGAUCGGCCACACUGGGACUGAGACACGGCCCAGACUCCUACGGGAGGCAGCAGUAGGGAAUCUUCGGCAAUGGACGGAAGUCUGACCGAGCAACGCCGCGUGAGUGAAGAAGGUUUUCGGAUCGUAAAGCUCUGUUGUAAGAGAAGAACGAGUGUGAGAGUGGAAAGUUCACACUGUGACGGUAUCUACCAAAAAGG